rnacentral:rRNA from 1 species
GGAAUAUUGGACAAUGGGCGCAAGCCUGAUCCAGCCAUGCCGCGUGUGUGAAGAAGGCCUUCGGGUUGUAAAGCACUUUCAGCGGGGAGGAAGAGUGUUUUGUUAAUAGCACAGCAUUUUGACGUUACCAGCCACAGAAGCACCGGCUAACUCAGUGCCAGCCGCCGCGGUAAUACGGAGGGUGCGAGCGUUAAUCGGAAUUACUGGGCGUAAAGCGCACGUAGGCGGUAUGUUAAGUUGGAUGUGAAAGCCCCGGGCUCAACCUGGGAAUUGCAUUCAAAACUGGCAUGCUAGAGUAUGUGAGAGGGGGGUAGAAUUCCAAGUGUAGCGGUGAAAUGCGUAGAGAUUUGGAGGAAUACCAGUGGCGAAGGCGGCCCCCUGGCACAAUACUGACGCUCAGGUGCGAAAGCGUGGGGAGCAAAC